rnacentral:ncRNA from 2 species
CAAUAACAGGUCUGUGAUGCCC